GCGGCGGUAGCUCAGCCUGGUUAGAGCGCUCGGCUCAUAACCGGGAAGCCCCGGGUUCAAAUCCCGGCCGCCGCA
rnacentral:tRNA from 1 species